GCGCAGGGGCUUUUUUUUCCUUGCUUUUUUUUCCCCCCUCUCCCACCCCCUUCUCUCUGCUGAUCCCCGCGACCUGCGAUUUCCCGGGGGUCCGGAGCUCUGGACCCCAAGGCACCGGCCACCCCCUCAGGACGGCUCAAGGCUCCUCAGGCAACCCCCGUGCCCCUCUCCACCCAUAAGCAGAGGGCCUCCCCCCAACCAUGAGGAUUUUUUUUUUCCUGGGGUGAAAAUGCCAGUCCCGGAGCCAGGGUUCCCGGACCCCCAGGGCCGAGCUGGGCGCGGGAGCCCCACGGGGGCGGGGAGGCCGCCGAGCUUGAAGAAGUGGAGAGAGCUGCACAACUUAAGUGGGCGUCCCCAUCCCAUCUUCCUGCUCAACCUCUUUGCCCCCAACUCCAUCUCUGCCACAUCCCCCCCCUCCAAAAAAAGAAGUCACUCCCGGGCUCUGUCUGCAGAGAGCCAGGGUGAGAGCGGGCAAGGCGAGAGAGCGACCUCGGUCGUGGGCAAGUAGCUUGUUUUUACGUCCUUCAAUAAAAUUUUUAUGAGGAUCA